rnacentral:tRNA from 1 species
GGAAAGAUGGCAGAGUGGUCGAUUGCGGCGGUCUUGAAAACCGUUGAACCGAGAGGUUCCCGGGGUUCGAAUCCCUGUCUUUCCGC